rnacentral:rRNA from 1 species
GAUGAACGCUAGCGGCAGGCUUAACACAUGCAAGUCGAGGGGCAGCAUGAAGGUUAGCAAUAACCUUUGAUGGCGACCGGCGCAAGGGUGCGUAACGCGUGAGCAACUUGCCCGUUUCUGGGGAAUAACCGGUGGAAACGCCGACUAAUACCCCAUGGCAUCAGAUUGAGGCAUCUUAAUCUGAUUAAAGAAUUUCGGAAACGGAUAGGCUCGCGUGACAUUAGCUGGAUGGCGGGGUAACGGCCCACCAUGGCUACGAUGUCUAGGGGUUCUGAGAGGAAGGUCCCCCACACUGGAACUGAGACACGGUCCAGACUCCUACGGGAGGCAGCAGUGAGGAUAUUGGUCAAUGGUCUGACGACUG